GACGAACGCUGGCGGCGUGCUUAACACAUGCAAGUCGAACGGAAAGGCCCUGCUUGCAGGGUACUCGAGUGGCGAACGGGUGAGUAACACGUGGGUGAUCUGCCCUGCACUUCGGGAUAAGCCUGGGAAACUGGGUCUAAUACCGGAUAGGAGCCAUUUUUAGUGUGAUGGUUGGAAAGUUUUUUCGGUGUAGGAUGAGCUCGCGGCCUAUCAGCUUGUUGGUGGGGUAAUGGCCUACCAAGGCGGCGACGGGUAGCCGGCCUGAGAGGGUGGACGGCCACAGUCGGACUGGGAUACGGACCAGACUCCUACGGGAGGCAGCAGUGGGGAAUAUUGCACAAUGGGCGCGAGCCUGAUGCAGCGACGCCGCGUGGGGGAUGACGGCCUUCGGGUUGUAAACUCCUUUCGCUAGGGACGAAGCUUUUUGUGACGGUACCUAGAUAAGAAGCACCGGCUAACUACGUG
rnacentral:rRNA from 1 species